AGCUUGUUGAGAAUGUCUGGUAGCCCUUUUAUUAUUAUUUAUGAAUUCAUCUGAAAGGAGUAUUGACCUCUAAUUAAAGCCAGAAAAUUACUCCUGGAACAAAUUACUAAAGGCCAGAAGAAAAAGGCACUAACACUGGAAAGUGAAAGGCACCAGAUGAGGGCUGUGUGUGUGUGCCAGCAAGAAAGGUUGUCACAGAUCAUGUGCAGCCCUUCAGGGGACUGAUGCCGCCAAGGGUACCUUCCCAGGUGUGUGCGUGAGAGGACCAGGCGGCCCAGCCAAGCAGGAGGAGCGCACUCCCAGGUCAGCAGUGAAGCCGAGUGGGUUAAGAACCUAAGCCCCUCAGGU